GUCAGUGCGCCGCCCACGUGCGGGGCGAGGGGGGGGGCCGCCGCCCAGGGUGACCUUGGUCGAGUCCCCCCCUGCCCUCAGGCUGCAGCUCCCGUAAAAUGGGCCGGGCCCGAGGGGGGGUCGGGGGGGGGGCCGGGGCCCGACCGGUGAAGCCCCCAGAGGGGAGGGGGGGGUGGGCCGGCAGCGCUCCCCAGGUACAAAGCCCGACGGGGGGAGGGGGGCCGCCGGCUGUGCGCGGGGCUGGGCCCGGGCGUGCCCGAGCGUCCCCUCCAGCCCCGACCCCCGCGGGGCCGGCGCCCGUCACGCCCCUCCGCCGUUGGGGCCCUCCGGGUCUUCAGUGACCCAAGAAGCGGGCGAGGCUCAGCGUGGGGGACGCGCCCCCGUCGGGGAGGCCGCCCAGAGCCCGGGGUUAAAGGCUAGAAGCCCCCCCCCAUUUGUCUCUGACCGCCGCCGUUCUUUAUUUGGGAGUCUUGGGGGGGGCGUUCUGCCCGCUUUCCUCUAGAAGAUUUAGACAUGGCCAGAGACCCCAAAGGGAGCCGGGCCCGGCCCGGCCAGAAGCGACAGCACAGCGCUACCCUCUACCACAGUAACUGUGACCUGAACUAUGAGCUGUAUCGGGAAGACUUCCCCUACAGGGUGUAUGAAUAUCAGAGGAUCCCCCCACUUAUCAACCGAGCGCCUGUCAAGAGCAGACGGACUCACAUGGGAACAGGGGGCAAGAGUGGCCUCAACCCCCACAUCCCCCCACGAAGCAACAACCCACCCCCUGUCCGGACAAAGUUAAGAGCUGAGGAGCUGCACUCGAUCAAGGGGGAGCUGAGCCAGAUCAAAGCCCAGGUGGACAGUCUGCUCGAGAGUCUGGAGCGCAUGGAUCAGCGGCGAGACCGGCUGGGAGGGCCCCAAGACAGUGAGAAGAAGGUGGCCUCGGCCGGCGGGGAGUCCUCCAGUGCGGCCACGGAGGCCCAGCGGGAGCCCAGGGGCAAAGAGAGCCCGGAGGCCAGAGCUCGCAGCCGCAGGGAGGCCGACAGUGCUGAAGAGAGCACGGACACGGAGGAGGCGGUGAGGAUGAAAAACCACACAUCGGACCCUGACGGGAGCCAGUAGAAGCACUGGGGCCCUUCCUGGGUCGGCCUCCCAGCCGGUGCCACGUGAGACCUGCCCUCCAGCCUCUCCUCCAGAAGCUGGGCACAAGUCCCUGAGGUGCAGGCCUAGAGAAUGGGCCUGGGGAGGCAGGAAAAUCCAGCAGGUCUAGAAUUUCCCUUUGAAAAAACUCCACCCUCCUUUCCUCUGUGCUGUUUCCCCCACCUCAUGAAAAAGGGGUUCCCUUGGUAGUAAGGCUUGGCAGGACGGGCAUUUGGGGGAAGCAUCUGGGCCAACAAUUCCAAGUUCUUCCCAAAUUGCUCAGUGAUGAUUUUCAGUUCCCCGUCCCCACCGGGUACCCACUCAUUUCUUCUUGAAGAAACAUUCCCAGGGGUAGAAACCCCCCCAUCUCUUGGACAGUCAGUCCAUUUACAACAGUAUUGGCUCUCUUCCUGGCUCCAGCAGACACGACCCAGGUUUUGCUCUCAAUAUUAGCCAUUCGACACAGAAACCCCCAGUGUUCCUUAUGGGGCUCCCCCAGCUUUCUUUCUGCCCAGCCAGUGUUGGGGAGACAUUGGCCGCAUACCCCCUCAUCCCCGCGAUGUGAGGUGAGAUCGAUACCAUUCUGUGCUUUCUCUGGUCCCCGAGAACCCCUACCAAGCCAGGCCAAGGGCAGCCGCCUCAGCUCCUGGUGGCUCAUCAAGGUUCCCCCUUUUCCCAGCACCCCGUGGCUUCAAUGUUUUGCACUAUUAGCCUUCAUGUGACCCCUUCUUCUCCCCCGGCCCCUGCAGAAUUCCAUACCCACAGUGGUGCAUGGGAAAUGAGUUCUGUUUCCGACAGGUGCGUUUCUGCUCCGUAGAAGAUAAGUCAGGUCCUUGGUCGAUGUUGCCCCGGUUAGCCCCGUUACUUCCUUGUCCCCCCUUCCCCCAUGCUGUCCUUUCAGAACAGGUGUAGUUCAUUCUUAUGUCCAGUUUCUAGCUUGUCUUCUUGCUGGUAUGAUACUGUGUAUUUCAAAUCUGCUCUGGAAAAGUGUAUUGUGUUGAAAGGAAAAAAAAUUAAAAGUUUGUAUUUCUUUUCUCUGGUUAAA
ensembl:lncRNA